rnacentral:lncRNA from 1 species
AUUCUGAUGUCACAACAAGACCCCCCUGAUCCAUGCAGGCUGGAGUUGUGCUGGGCAUAUGUAAAUGAACAGAAAAUGCUGGGUGAAUGAUUCUAAUAAUCUACCAUGUGGUCCAAGCUGGGAAAGGAAGGAGAGGCCAGGAAAAGGCUGAUACACUAGGAAAAGUACAGAGAUGAAGGCAUAGAUAACCCUCUGGCACAAAGGAAUAAUGCAUAUAAGAUGUCCCUAGGUUAAAGAGUGGGGCAUAAUUGUGCAUGAGAUCAAAACUGAAGCAACUCCAGGCCUCAAGUGGUCCUAUACUUUCUGCUGUCUCAAUGGGGACCCUUCUGCAACCAUAUGAACACAUCUGAAAGAGCCUGUUCGAAGACGAGGGAACAUGUGGCAAGAGACUGUUUUGGACUUCUUCCCUGAAGGACCAGCUAUCAACAGAUAACUGAUAUACAUAUGGUCUCAGAACCAAAAGCAAAAACAGCCUAAGUAAACACACUGCAGAGAGGUCAACUUGGAUGAGGACUUGAAGAAGAACAGUUUCCCAGUUCAAAGAUGUGGUACAGGAAGGGGUGAGACAACAAAGUUGGAAAGAGGCAGUGAAUGCAAAGAAAACAGGUGGAUCCAUCUCAGGGAGGGAGACAGGACAAACUUGGGACACGCUGAUGACCAUGAAGAUGGGAAGGUGAAGAUGGAAGAAGCAGAUGGGAUCCAUGGGAGGCAAGACCUAGGGUGGUUAAAGAGGGGUCCUAGGGGAAUUAGCCCGGGGAAGGAGGGACAUAUGUUUCUCUGAAUCUAGGAAAACAAAGGUUGUCAGAGAUGCAGCAGCGUGUUUUGUUUUUUUGCAGCCCAGUACUGGGGAUUGAACCCAGGGCCUUCUCACUGCUACAUCCUCCAACCAAUCUUUCUUUUUUUUUUUUUUAAUUUGCAGAGAGGGUCUCGAUAAAUUGCUAAAUUGCCCAGGCUGGGCUCCACCUUGCAGUCCUCUUGCAGUCCCUCUCAGGGUGCUGGGAUUGGACCACCACUCCAAGCUAGGAGUUUUCCAAGGGAGAAAGGAAGAGCAGUAGAAAGCUGCACUUUAGGAAGGCGAGAGCCGUGCAGUUGAAGUUUCUCUUCCAGCCUUCACCAUAUAGAGCCAUGGGUCAAAAAUUUAACUCCAAAAUUCUGGCGACAGUCAGGGAGCUGCGAACUUUUCUUUUUAAGUAUUAUCUACUAUCAGCACGGUUUUAUGUGAAAUAGAGAAGUAGUAUUUAAUACACUGAAAAAGGUAGAACCGAUAUAAUCUCAAUAAAUCUACUCUGCUUCAUCACCAUGUCACUCCGCUGGCCUUAUUUUUC